UCUCCUGCUUUUGUAUGCUUCUGCCCAAAGAAAAGUAGAGUAGCAAUUAAAAAGAAGAAACAUUAACAGAGUAAUAACUUCCCUAGCCAUCACAGCCAUUUUAGAUGGGAGCAACAAUACUGUGGAUCCCCUCAUCCAAUUUUAGUUAGUGAAGUAUCUAGGCAUGGUCCAAACAUAGCACAGCAAAAUUCACAGAAUUCAGCUACUAAUUUAAAACUGAUUGGAAAAAGUGCAUGCAACAAUAAGAUCAACAUGGAGUUUAACAACAAAUUUUAAGGCAAAAAUUGCAUCAUUGUCAGAAGAUGUAACAGCAAAACCUCAAUUGGGGACAAAAAAUAUAUCCACUAAUUUAGGAGAGUUAACUUACCAGAAAAUCGCCGUUUUUGUCUAUCUCCAUUCGCAGACUCGCAGGCUUAUUGCUCGUUUUAGCGUGUGGAAUCUUCUCUCGGUUUUCAUAGAAAUUGAAGUCAUCU
rnacentral:misc_RNA from 1 species